rnacentral:rRNA from 1 species
CUUGGUCAUUUAGAGGAAGUAAAAGUCGUAACAAGGUUUCCGUAGGUGAACCUGCGGAAGGAUCAUUAUCGUGCAAACAAGGGGACGUUACGGGGGGCUGUCGCUGACCAUCUAAAGGUCGUGCACGCCCUCUUAGCGUUCUCAUUUACACAUCCAUCUCACCCUUUGUGCAUCACCGCGUGGGCCCCCCUUUUGAUUUUAAAAAGGUUGGCCUGCGUUUUCCACAUAAACCCCUUUUGUUGUAGUGAAUGUCUUUUUUUACUCUUGCGGUCACACGCAAUAUUAACACAACUUUCAACAACGGAUCUCUUGGCUCUCGCAUCGAUGAAGAACGCAGCGAAAUGCGAUACGUAAUGUGAAUUGCAGAAUUCAGUGAAUCAUCGAAUCUUUGAACGCACCUUGCACCCCUUGGUAUUCCGAGGGGUACACCCGUUUGAGUGUCGUGAAAUUCUCAACCUCCCCAAUUUUUAUUGGGGGAAGGCUUGGACUUUGGAGGCAAUUAUGCUGGUUUCCCUUUUUGAAGCCAGCUCCUCUUAAAUGAAUUAGUGGGGUCCCUUCUUUGCCGGUCCCUCGACGUGAUAAGAUUUCUCUACGUCCGAGGUUUGGCUCACUUGUAGGCCCGCUUCUAACCGUCUCUCUCCUUAAGAGACAUGUUUGAACCCUUUGACCUCAAAUCGGGUGAGACUACCCGCUGAACUUAAGCAUAUCAAUAAGCGGAGGA